UACGAAGGGGGCUAGCGUUGCUCGGAAUCACUGGGCGUAAAGCGCACGUAGGCGGCUUACUAAGUCAGGGGUGAAAUCCUGGAGCUCAACUCCAGAACUGCCUUUGAUACUGGUGAGCUUGAGUCCGGAAGAGGUGAGUGGAACUGCGAGUGUAGAGGUGAAAUUCGUAGAUAUUCGCAAGAACACCAGUGGCGAAGGCGGCUCACUGGCCCGGUACUGACGCUGAGGUGCGAAAGCGUGGGGAGCAAACAGG
rnacentral:rRNA from 1 species